AUGAUCCGAUGUCCAUGUGAAGAUUGUGUUCACACUGAAGUACUAUCAAGGGAUGAUGCCCGUGACCAUUUAAUGUGGAAUGGAAUGCUUCAGAGCUAUGACAAAUGGGUUUUUCAUGGCGAGUCUUCAUCCGAUCACAAUGAUGAUCAACAACCACAACCUGAAACUGAAGAAAAUGCUAAUAUGAAUGAAAUGAUUAUGGAUUCAAUUAGGAAAAUAUAUGAUGGUGAUGUGCCUAUGAGUGAUAGUACAGAUUUUUCAAAUCCACUUCCUGAUGGAGCAACUAAAGAAGCAGAAGCAUUGUACAAAUUAAUUCAAGAUUCAGAGAAGCCUUUGGGCCAGGAUGUGAAUUGUCUCAGCUUUCCUUACUUGCACUUUUGUUAUGGUCAGAUAAGUCAUUUGAAGAUCUACUUAAUAUUCUGCACAUGGCUAUUCCAAAUGGUAAAGCUCUGCCCCAAAAUUUUUACGAGGCCAAGAAGAUCAUAUCAAAGUUUGGAUUAG
rnacentral:rRNA from 1 species